rnacentral:rRNA from 1 species
UAAGACGAACCGUGCGAACGUUGUUCGGAAUCACUGGGCUUAAAGGGCGCGUAGGCGGCUUGCCAAGUCAGGGGUGAAAUCUUUCGGCUUAACCGGAAAAGUGCCUUUGAUACUGGCAGGCUAGAGCGAGGUAGGGGCAUGUGGAACUUCCGGUGGAGCGGUGAAAUGCGUUGAUAUCGGAAGGAACGCCGGUGGCGAAAGCGACGUGCUGGACCUUUUCUGACGCUGAGGCGCGAAAGCCAGGGGAGCAAACGGGAUUAGAUACCCCGGUAGUCCUGGCCCUAAACGAUGGGUACUAGGUUGUGGACUUGACAUGGGUUCACAGCCGAAGCAAAAGUUUUAAGUACCCCGCCUGGGGAGUAUGGUCGCAAGGCUG